AGCGAACGUUAGCGGCGGGCCUAACACAUGCAAGUCGAGCGAGAAAGGGGCUUCGGCCCUGAGUAAAGCGGCGGACGGGUGAGUAACACGUAGGUAAUCUUCCUUCGAGCGGGGGACAACGGUCCGAAAGGACCGCUAAUACCGCGUACGUUCCCGAGGACCCUGGUCCUUGGGAGGAAAGCUAGGUCGCAAGAUCCGGCACUCAGAGAGGAGCCUGCGUCGCAUCAGCUAGUUGGUGGGGUAAUGGCCUACCAAGGCGAAGACGCGUAGCUGGUCUGAGAGGAUGAUCAGCCACACUGGGACUGAGACACGGCCCAGACCCCUACGGGAGGCAGCAGUGGGGAAUAUUGGACAAUGGGCGCAAGCCUGAUCCAGCCACGCCGCGUGAGUGAUGAAGGCCUUCGGGUCGUAAAGCUCUGUGGGGAGGGACGAACCGCUGCACGUGCAUAGCGUGCAGCAUGACGGUACCUCCUUAGCAAGCACCGACUAACUUCGUGCCAGCCGCCGCCGUAA
rnacentral:rRNA from 1 species